rnacentral:rRNA from 1 species
CAGCAGUCGCCGCGGUAAUACGAAGGGUGCAAGCGUUACUCGGAAUUACUGGGCGUAAAGCGUGUGUAGGUGGUUGUUUAAGUCUGUCGUGAAAGCCCUGGGCUCAACCUGGGAAUUGCGAUGGAUACUGGGCGACUAGAGUGCGGUAGAGGAUAGUGGAAUUUCCGGUGUAGCAGUGAAAUGCGUAGAGAUCGGAAGGAACGUCUGUGGCGAAGGCGACUAUCUGGGCCAACACUGACACUGAGACACGAAAGCGUGGGGAGCAAACAGGAUUAGAUACCCCUGUAGUCCCUGUCUCUUAUAC